UACAACCUGCAGGUUGUUACGGAGUGGGCGCAUUACAGUCUUGUUGUUUUUGUUUUUUUGUUUGCAAACGGCAACAAUGUGCUGUUUGAUAUCACCCAACAAGCUUGCCCAUAAUAUUUACCAUUAUUAGACAUCACGCGUACGUUUGAUAAAGCGGAUGUAACAAAAAAAAAAAGAGAAAACGAGAUUUUUUCGCAAAAAAAAUUGUUUCGUGAUUUGCUAGAUUGGCUCGCGAAAAAGACGUAAUAAUUUUCAACUAAGACAAGUGUUACAAUGAAACCGUUAAAAGGUCCAGGGAUGAAGUGAUUUGUGCUAAAAAAAAAUAAAACAUUUCAAGAAUUUUCGAGUGUAACUCAUCAAAAAAAAAAAUUGUUUUAAAACAGUGUAAAACAUCACCUAAUAUGAUAUAGGAAACUAUAGUCACAAGCACAAACAAUUUGCUUAAACUCCCAAAAAAUCCAACAAGAAAAGACUCAAUCAAAGUCCAACACACCCCUGUUUGGGGAGGAAAUUUGUUUGCAUUGCAGAAAACGUUUUGUCAGCAUACGCUUCCAUUCUCUCACAAGAAAAAAAAAAACACCGAAAACUAAUCCAACAACACUCGGCUGGCUGUGGAUAAUAUACAAAAGCAGCAACAACAACAAGUAUCCAUGCGAAAUUAUAACAUUGCAAAAUCAUCGAUUCAGAGUUUGAAGUGUUGAAAUCGUUUUGACAGCUUUCGCUCAAACUUCAGCACAAACAAAAAAAAACCUGCUGCUGCAACUCCAUAAGCCUUCAAACCAGCCAAACGAAAUUGGCAGCAUCGAACAUUUAAAUUUCCUUUGGCUUCAUAUUGCGUUAUUUCCUUUAGAUUUGUUGUAUCUAAUUCUUCUUCUUCUUUAUACCAUUUUGCCUUGUCUUUUAAACCUUACAAAAAAAAAAAACAGCCAACAAACACCUUAGCCAUCGAAUAUAAGGUUCUGUUGAUGCAAACGAACACACAAAAAAAAAAACUACAACAACUACGCGUGCUAAACUGUUACACACUCUGCUAUGCAAUAUUUUUUUGCCUAAACUAAAUAUUUUCCCAAUAAAGAGAGGGGGGUGGGCAAACUAAGCUAAAGCCCUACACAUCUAUCUGCUCACCAGCUUUACCAUCCAAUAUACACACAGCAACAGCAUUAGCCGCACAAGUGACGAGAGCCAGAGCACAAAGAAAGCAUCACUCACUCUUGUUGCGGGGCAUCACAUCAAACUUCGUAUUAUUCGGUUUGCAGAGACAUACUCGUCGUACUUUGUGUUGUCGCUCGUACUCAUCUUCAUCACACACAGCAGCCUCAGCAUACAAGCAGUAGCAGCAGCAGCAUAAUCAGAGCUCACACACAACUUCGUUGGGACAACGAGGCGGCUUUUGCUCUUCGUUCCUCUAUGAUUGUCAACUUAACCAUCAUUUUCAGUGAGUACAAGAAGUGGUGAACAAGACAAAGAAAAAAAAA
rnacentral:sRNA from 1 species